rnacentral:pre_miRNA from 1 species
GGCGCGUCGCCCUCCUCAGUCCACCAGAGCCCGGAUACCUCAGAAAUUCGGCUCUGGGUCUGUGGGGAGCGAAAUGCAAC